GGAGGAGGAGAAAGCAUGCAUGAAUGAGGCCUUUUCUUUUGGCCUAUAGUUUUUAGUGCUGUAUUUCAGGUAAUCAUAGCUCUUCCUGGAAGUUAUGUAAGUUUUCAGACUUUGCUGCGUUAGCAUUCUCUUUCUCCACCUCUUGCUCUCCAUCCCCAAUGCCUGCCUGGAAACACACACAUUCAUGUGUUCCUGUGUUUAUUACUGAGUCAUUUCAAAAUAGGCUGCAUCGAAUGCAUUUAUCUCUUCAGGGUGUAUUUCGUAAGAAAAGAAAUGUUCUUACAGAACUCCAAAAACAUAUUUUAAUACAAGAACAUUUGAUAGCGAUGUGCUUACAACAAUGCAUUAUCCCAAUAAUGUUCUUUCGUAGUACCUUUCAAUGAUCUUUUAAUCACACAUAGAUCAGAAGAUAGCUUCUCGAAUUGUUCCUUUCUUCCUCCAUGAAGGUUCCUUGCAUGAUGCUUAGUGUGCUUACCCGCUGAGUCACUCACUGACCUCAUGUUACUGUGUGUACGGUAUAGGCUGCAGCCCAGGAACUUGUAAUUCUCCCCUCCCUCCUUGGCCUGCUUCAAUCUCAAACCCUUCUUGAUCUUGAUUUUUUACCUAACCCAUUUUGCUUUCAUGGCAUUUGGUUCAUUUUCAUUUAAUGUUACAGGUAUUUCAUUUAAAAUACAGGUAAUUUUUAAUAUUAAAGGUAUUCAAAAGACAUGAAAGAAUUAUAGAUUUCUGUUGGGCUCUUCUACUCACCUUUAAUGCUGUAAGGUACAAUCAGCAAUGGUUAAAACUCAGUGGUACCGUGUUUCCUAGCUGAUUUAGCUGCACAGCAAGCAUUUUAAUCAGAAUGCCUAUCCGAAACUUUGCGUAGGCACUUGAGGAACACAACUGGUAAUUCACAAAUGCUGUUUCCCAUGCUCACCUUCCAUGUCACUGAUUAAGACAAUAAAUCUUUAUUGAUACCUAAUACUGUGACCCAGGUGCUAUGCUACGGUAUUGAAUACUUAUGGGUACAUUAGCAAUAUCACCAUUUCUAAGAGCUAGUUUAAGGACAUAAAAACAGUUAUAUAAUUGUUUGACUAUAAUUGUUAAGUUUGGUAAUUACUCAGAGAUAAAUUGUAUAAUAAGAAAUUAUGGUAGAGGCAAGGAGGUACCAUGAUUGAGUAGUGAAAGAAAGGCCCUUUCUGACACUUGAGCAUAACAGCCAUGCCAAGUAAAUUCUAAUCUUUAAAUAUAUCUAAUUGUGUCCUACCUCUUAAUCCCAAACAGCACUAUGUUAGUUCAGCCUCCAUUUUCCUUUUGCCGAACGAAUUAUAUCUUUGAACUAUGUCUCUGCUUUUAGCUCAGACCUCUCUGGUCUCAUCACUCUACACGGAUAACUAAGAAUUCUAACUGCUAUUGACACCUGUCAUUCACACUGCUUAGCUUUUGCAGCCAUCCAGGGACUCGGAGCCUUCCAGACUCUGUUUUUGUAUGUGCUCCACCUUCCACAGUGCUAUCUAUUCUGCCUGUUAGGUGUUUCCAAGGAAGGACCUUUUCCCUUAUGCCUGUGUCUUGCCAUUUAUCUACUAGGUAAGUAGACAUCCUUUCUUUUAUUAAGACUGAACCCAGUGAGAAUCUAUCAUAUCUUGAACUUCGUUCAGCAAUAUUUAAGAGUCCUAGAGGCAUUUGUUUUGUUUUCAAGACAGGGUUUCUCUCUAUAGUCCUAGCUGUCCCAGAACACUCACUCUAUAGACCAGGCUGACCUCGAACUUAGAGACCUGCCUAACUCUAGGGGCUUUUUAUGUUUAUGUUUCUCUGUGUUUCAGAAGACAUUCCUUUGCCUGUCAUUCAUCGAUGUGAGUGAAGAAGACGUCUGUAGGAAGGGUGAGAAUCUGUUCCUUUCAGUGUUGUCAGAUUCUCCGCUUGCGCUGUGUCCUCCCUCGCACAUGCAGCUUGGGAGCGCUGUACCUUAGGUUUUGAGAGGACUCUGAUUCUCCUCCUCGGUCAUUUGUAUCAGAGCCAGUGCCAGUCCUAGUCUCCAAAGUGUAGAAGGAUGAAUUCUGAAGACCCUUUUAAAAUAUCUUCUUGUUCUUAAUCAUGUGUAUGAAUAUGUAUGUGUCAUUGCCUGUGGAGGCUAGAGAAGUUGUGUCCUUUGGAGUUAGUCACAGGUGACUGUGAGCUCCCUGAUGCAGGUACUAGGAUUCAAACUCAGGUCCUCUGUAAGAGCAGUGCAUGCUCCCAGCACUGAGCCAUCUGUCCAACGUCCACCAUUCACUAAGUCCUAGCAAACUGUUUCUACUUCCUCUUGAAAUAUUAGAUAGGAUGUCCUGGGGACUGUGCUUCAAUCCAAAUACUGUGUCAGAUUAAAGCCGAGUGUGGCACACCUGUGAUCCUAACAGUCAAGACACUGAGCUGGAAAUAGGCCAGCUUGAAUUGCAUAAUUCAAAGCCAACCUAAUGAAAUGCUGCCUUCAAAAAAUAAGCAAAUUUGACACAUGGACAAUAACAUUUUAGAUUACAGCAGUAAAUGUAAGCUUCCAGAGAAGCUUGGUCAGUAAGUAGAUACAUGGGGAAUGCUACUAGUAGUUCAGCAUAUUCAGGCAUCUUGUUUGAUUUUCAGGCAGUCUGUAGUUUAAGUUGAGUGUGCUACAUCUUGUUUUCACUGUGCACAGUACAUAGUAAAGAUAGUUCUUUUUUCCACUUCUCUACAUUAGCAAACUUGUUUUCAAUAAACUAACUACCAUAAAUCUUUCUGUAGUCAGUUUUGAGAUUCACUGUUAGCAUUCCGGGUAACCACCAUGGGAAUAACUGUGAAUAUGUGUGGUAUAUUCAUGUAUGAGCACAUAUGCGUUCAGUUUGCUAUGUGUGUGUGCCCAUGUGGAAACCAAAAGAAGUCUUCAACUCUCUUUUUCACCUAAGUUUGUGAGACAGGUCUCUCGCUGAAUCUGAAGUUGACCAUCUCAGCUAGGCUGGCUAGCAAACCCCCAGGAUGCACCUGUGUAGUCAGCCGCCAAGUGCGAGAGCUCUAUGUGUACCAUCAUGCCUGUCUUUACGUGGUGCUGGGGAGCCAAACUCAGGCUCUUAUACUUGCACAGCAGCCUUGUUAUCCAUUAAGCUAUCAACUUUCCCAGCCUCCUAGAACCUCCUAGGACUCCUAGAAAUUUGCUAAGACAUUUUGUGGCAUUUUUUCAUAUCCAUACUAUAUGGGCCAGGAUAACAAAAUGUCAGAGUUACUACAUCAGAAACUACAGAAACCUUCAGGAUGACAUCAUAAAUUUCAAAGAUUUUCAUCAGACCCCAUUGUCGCCAGUUUCAGGAUGAAAAGGAGGAAUUCUACAGUUUACCCCAGGCUGACCUGAGUCUGGAGGCACUUCUUAGCCUCCAAAAUGCUGGGACAACUGAUGUGUGCCACCAUAUCCUAUAGAAGAAACUCUUUGUACACGAGUGGAGGGCAGAGGCUGCAGUCACAUGUGCACCUCACUUGCUUCUCUACCUUAUUUCUGAGGCAGGGUUGGUCUCUCACCGGAGCUCACUGACUCAGGAGACGAUCUGGCUAGUGAGUUCCAGGGGUGCUCCUCUUUCUAGCUCCCUGGCACUGAAGUUAUAAUAUACCACUCUGCCCCGUUUGACCUGAGAUUGGAAAUACAGCUAAGGGGGAGCUUGAACUCCUGAGCCUUCUGCCUCCACUUCCUGAGUGCUAGAAUUCUAAGUGUAUUCCAUCAUGGUU
rnacentral:lncRNA from 1 species